GUGGCGCAGUUGGUAGCGCGCCCGCUUGGCAUGCGGGAGGUCGGGGGUUCGAAUCCCCCC
rnacentral:tRNA from 1 species